rnacentral:tRNA from 1 species
AAGGCUUUAGCUUAAUUAAAGUGUCUGUUUUGCAUACAGGAGAUGUGGGAUAGUACCCUGCAAGUCUUA